rnacentral:rRNA from 1 species
UACGAAGGGGGCUAGCGUUGCUCGGAAUCACUGGGCGUAAAGGGUGCGUAGGCGGGUCUUUAAGUCAGGGGUGAAAUCCCGGGGCUCAACCCCGGAACUGCCUUUGAUACUGGGUAUCUCGAGUCCGAGAGAGGUGAGUGGAACUCCGAGUGUAGAGGUGAAAUUCGUAGAUAUUCGGAAGAACACCAGUGGCGAAGGCGGCUCACUGGUCCGGUACUGACGCUGAGGUGCGAAAGCGUGGGGAGCAAACAGG